rnacentral:lncRNA from 1 species
GAAUGAAUCUAACAGUGCUAUGGACUCUACCUAACAUGAGUAAAAGAAGCUAAAGAAAGUGAAUGGGGAAUCAGCCCAUGAGGAUGAACUGAAAACGCAGCUGUUUUUCAAAAACUUGGGUUCUGGAACUCAUCAGUGAAGAGCAGUGGCUUCUCUUCCAGAGGACCUGAGUUUGGUGCCAAGCACCCACAUAGCAGGUUGCACACAUUCAUAGCUCCAGGUCCAGGGAAUCUGAGGGCCUCUGCUGGUCUUCUAGGACACCAGACACACAAGUGGCACAGAAUCAGCCAUACAUGAAGAAAGCCACAAGGAAAUCUUUGCCAACUCUUGCUCUCCUGAAAUGCUGCUGGAAGGAAGGCAAAUGAGAGCUCUCCCCGAAACAGAAGCACAGCUGCAAGUGAGGUGUCUGGCCAAGCCCUGGUCCUUUCUCUGGCUGCUUCCUGAAUUCAGCUUCCUUCUUCUGAAUAGCGCUGAUAAAUUAGCAUGGGGAGAGCAUGUGCUGGACUCUGGGCUUGUGCCUCCAGGGCUUGCAGCCAUAGCCUUCAGGAGCCAUGCUGUGUGGGCCAUUAAAC